UUUGAUAUUGACAUUUUAGAUAGUUCAAAAAAAAGUAAUGUUUGAAAUCGAGCAAAAAAACAAAAACAUGCAAUCAACAGUUUUCCUUUACUUUCGGACCUUGGGGUGGACCUUGAGAUACACAAAAUUCCCCAAUCAAUCAAUCAAUCAGUCCAUUGGUCAGUCAGUCUGGCCAAGCAGUUUUAUAUAUAAAUGUUGAGCUGUGCCUUUCAUUUCGCUUGCUUAACUAUUUAUGAGCUAGCAAUCCCUGGAACGCAGUGCGUCUUUAUUUGUGCUGCUACUUUGCUGCCCUCUGGGCGUUAAAUUGACUUGGCUUAGGCUCACACACUACACACACACAAACACUCACGCACUCGCACACUCUGUUAUUCGCACACACGUGGGACUCACGCAUGGCCGCAUCUGGACAGGCAUCUGCUCAGCCGAGUUACCUUGGAGAUGGCAGCGAACAGAUUUCUGCAGCGUCAUUAAAAUGAAACUGGGGUGGCGGCAUAAGGAACGCAAAUAAUCAUUUAAUUGCAGCUGGAUUCUCAGCUCUAUUCCCCCAAUGCUAGCCCAAAGUUAGCCAGCAAAACGUGGCCCAUAAAUAGCAACAACUUGGCAAGGAAUUGAAAGCACUUGAAUACAUUUAAGUUAUGUAAGAUUUAUAGUCGAAUGACACUAGCUGAAAUCAAGCAAAUUCAUUAACCUGGCUUGUGUCUUGGCACAAAUAAUUUAUUGUUCAAUUUUGA